AUAACUAACACCAACAAACACAGAGAAAGACAACACACAAACACUUUGGCCCUGCUGUGAGUGUAGAAACCAGGUAACCUGGCGACUCCCUUGGAUCCUACCAGUAUGGAGUUUAGCAAGUUUCAAUAGUGCAGAGUCCUCCUGACUCCCUCCAGGGGCCUGAAGUGUCCUCCAGAAUCCCCAGGGUCACAGAGUUAAGCCACAUCUGCCCUCUGCAAUUGACCCACACCAGGGUAGAGGCUUUCCAGCCAACACCAUGCUCAGGAGUCAAAAGUGAAAGCAAAAGACCAGAGACAAACAGCAGUAGGUGCCUGUUGCUGAGUUUGUCCUUUUGCACUCUGAUAGGUCUCCAGGGAUGGGGGCAGGGGUGUCUACCCAAAUUCAGGACGACCCUCCCACCCCACAACCCUCUUUCAGUGGUACUUACUUCGAGAUAACCCCGAGUGAGACACCGAGAUGCAGAUCAAUGGAAAAGCAAGAGGUUUAUUUUUCAUCACUUCAGGGUCAACCUUCAAUUAGUCCCUCAAGCAAGUGCAGACAGAGCUCAGCAGUUUGCAGUCCUCUGGUGAUCCCUGGAUGGAGUUUGCCAGCCACUUGAGAAUCUGCUGAGAUAUCAUAGACUCCCAGGGGCACAAGGUAUAAUUUCCUAGUAAUUGGAGAAGGAACAAUUGUGGGUCAAAAUCUGCAGGUGGAUUGGUGUCCCCAUCCCUCCACUGGUGACCCUGUCUGACUACUAGAGGUGAGCACUUCCGGUCCCAUCUCCUCACUGGUGGGCAUUUGGGCCAAGGUCUCUCACAUCUCAGAUCUCUAGGACUUUCUAGGGGUUACCACCUUCCAUGAUGGCAUACCCCCCUCUCCCCGAGUGCCUCAACUCCCAUCACCCACCCCUGAGAACAGCAUGUUUCUAUUCAUUCUCCUGGCCCUCUGGGCUUCUCUCUCCUGUCUUCCCCCCAAUGUCUGAUCCUGUUCUCCCUUUUCCCUUCUCCCUCCCCUCUGCCACUCAGGUCCCUCCCUCCCUCUGCCUCCCAUGAUUAUUUUGUUCCCCCUUGUAAGUGAGAUUGAAGCACCCUCACUUGGGAGUUCCUUCUUGUUUAACUCUUCAGACUGUGGGAUGUAUCAUGAGUCUUCUGUACAUUUUGGCUGAUAUCCAUUUUUCAGUCAAGGGACAAUCUGAUUUGCUUCCAGUUUCUGGGUAUUAUGAAUAAGGCUGCUGUGAACAUAAUGGAGCAUGUGUCCUUGUGGUAUUGUGGAGCAUCUUUUGGGCAUAUGCCCAGGAGUUGUAUAGCUGAAUCUUCAGGUAGAACAAUUUCCAGUUUUCUGGGGGAACUGCCAGACUGAUUUCCAGAG